rnacentral:tRNA from 1 species
GGCAGUGUAGCAUAGUGGUUAAGGAGCAGGGCUCAAAACCAAAAGGUUGCUGGUUCAAUUCCCCAUUGGGG